GCGGCUAUGGCGGAAUUGGCAGACGUGUAAGAUUUAGGUUCUUAUGUCAUAUGGCGUGUGGGUUCAAGUCCCACUGGCCGCA
rnacentral:tRNA from 1 species